GGCCAAUUGUAGUUGCUCCGUUUUUUCCUUAUUCUUAUUUUUCCCCUCAAAAGUAAAUUGCUUUUUAGGGGGCCUGAACAUGCUUGAAGACUCACCAAAUUUUGCGUGCCCCCCCAAACGAAUGCGAAAAAUAUAAUAA